rnacentral:rRNA from 1 species
AGAAUCAACGCUGGCGGCGUGCCUAACACAUGCAAGUCGAACGAGAAGGUGGAGCAAUCCAUGGGUAAAGUGGCGCACGGGUGAGUAACACGUGACUAACCUACCCUUGAGUGGGGGAUAACCUAGAGAAAUCUGGGCUAAUACCGCAUAAUACCUUCGGGUCAAAGGAGCAAUUCGCUUAAGGAGGGGGUCGCGGCCGAUUAGUUAGUUGGCGGGGUAAUGGCCCACCAAGACUAUGAUCGGUA